rnacentral:rRNA from 1 species
GAUGAACGCUAGCGGCAGGCUUAACACAUGCAAGUCGAGGGGUAGAAGGAGCUUGCUCCUUUGAGACCGGCGCACGGGUGCGUAACGCGUAUGCAAUCUACCUUUUGCAGAGGGAUAGCCCAGAGAAAUUUGGAUUAAUACCUCAUAGUAUGUGAGGAUGGCAUCAUUUCACAUUAAAGUCACAACGGCAAAAGAUGAGCAUGCGUCCCAUUAGCUAGUUGGUAAGGUAACGGCUUACCAAGGCUACGAUGGGUAGGGUCCUGAGAGGGAGAUCCCCACACUGGUACUGAG